CUCGUUCUUAACACUGCCCCGAAACAGUGACUUGAAGGAAGACCCUGCCUUCUUUGAGCUUCUGUCUUCUUAUUUGUGCUCUGCCUGGACUGUGUAUUGGAGAGCAAAGGAACUGAAUGCUACGCAUUGCGGAUUUGGAUACCAUGUCUGCUGAGCUCAGGUGACAGUAAUGCUUCCAAGCUAGAGGCAUUCAAGGAGUGGCCCAGAGAACAUGUCAUUCAGGGCCUGGAAGAUUUCCAUCAGCAUUCAGGGGUCUACAGUCCUACAGAGCUGUAAUACAGCCUACGGAAACGAGUUUGAAAAUGGAAAACUAUGCUGAAUAAACUGCUUAUGACCCAACAUCAUUCCAAAGCAGAGUUGAGACUAUGGUAUAGCCGUGCACAGUGUAAGGCAUGAAGGUUGGACGAGGAUCCAGGUUCUGCAGGGGAUGGGGAUGCUGAGUAAGUGAGACACGUUUCUACAGCUUCUAGCCUGCCCAGUGCCUGCAAUGACAUCGCUGUUGCUGAUGAAGACUUACUGUUCUCAAGUGCUUAUCACACUGGGAGGAUGGCAACUGGGCAAAGCAGACACAGAAGGACAUCAUGCUGCUGACUCGUGGCUUCAGACUCUCAGUCUCCUGUAUUCCUUCCUCCUGCAAUUGCAGGGGGUGCACAAAACAUUUGCAGGCAUGAACGCAGUGAAGCAAAUAGUUGUUCUUAGGAACAAUUUCCCUUGGAGUCUUUCACAGACACCUGGAGCAAACUGGUGCUCAGGGGCACAAGGUUCCAGCUAAAAGAAACAGAAAAGUUCACAGGCUUUCCAUAUGUCCUCUGGAAAAAAACAGAAAGCCUCAAAGAUUGUUCUAAUGUUUGGACUUCAAGUUCACAGGAGUCAGCUGUAACUCAGAGGCCGUGUGCUCAAGCCAUGAAGAUGCCUGGAAUUGAGAAGACAAGAGAUCAGGUUGGCAGAGUCUUAUACUGGAUAUCUUGUAGUUUUGAUUUAGGAAACCAUUUAUGGAGCACCCACUGGGUACCAAACACUGUGCUAGCAGAUUUGAGUAUAUCAUAUCUAAUCCUUCCAAAGACUCCACAAAGUAAGUGUUCUUUUCAAUUUACAGGUAAGGAAACAGGAACACCAGCUACAACCCUCAUCUUCAUGGCUUUUGGCCCUUGCUCAGUUAGUAGAGUACAGCCUGAGGAAUCUUGGUUUUGCAAGGUGUUAGAACUGAAAGGGAUAUUAGAGCUCAUGUCUACCUUUUGAGGAUAAUGGUGAAAAGAGAUCCAAAGCCAGAAAUGUAAAUUAAUUUGCCCAGGGACACAGAGCAGAGCUGACACAUCCACUCAGGCCUCUGGUCCUGCAUGUGGACCAGUCUUUUCUUCUCCAUGUAACAGCAGGAGAGCAAAGAGAUUAAAAUGCCAUCUGGGGUGGAUGGAACAAAUGUCAAGGCCUGCCCUGGCUCUCUCUCUAAGCAAUGAUUACCACAGACAUGGCGGUUUUCAAAGGGCUUCUCACUUAAUCUGCUCACCAUUCCUUAAAAACGAGGAAAGGGGAACCUUUGAAGUUAUGGAAGAUAAAGUGACUUGCCAAUGUACAAUGAUAAAAAUGUGCAUCUAUGUCUAUAAAAUAUGUUAAGCUCUUUAGAAGAAAGGUGAAGGAAGAGAGCAAAUUGUUUUGGCAUUUUCUUAUUUCCAUCAUCUUGUGAUCUAAGUUGUCUGACACUGCUAAAUCAUCCUUUCAAAAUAGUGACACUUGUUUCUCUCCCUCUUUGAUUUUUCUCCAAACUGCUUGGGGUUCCAGAGGACAGCUCUUCUAGAAAUGUCCCUGUCUUAUCUCACAAGGCCUGCAGGAAGUGUAUAGUCUACAAUCCCAGCCAUGACAUAAACACCAGUCUUUCUGAACCACAUGCAGCAUUGCCCAGCUCUGGCAUAUCGGAAAUGAGAAAUGGCUAUAUGUUCUGGGGUAUGACUGCAGCACUGUGUGCAGGGUGCUUACCAAGCAUUAGGGCCGAAAGGGGUUGAAGACUCCUUCAAACUCUUGUUUUCUGAAUCAAUUUUUACCUGUUUUUCUUCUGACCCGUCCUGAUAAAUUUUCAGAUAGCAAACCUUUUGGUAUAGUGACAGUCAAAGUCAUUUGCAAAGCAUAGAAUAAGUGGUUUAGAUGCUUAGGUAUAUUUUUCACUUUGAAUGUUCAUUCUGAGCCAGUUUUGUUUAUGUAUUAAAAUAAUAAAAUAAAGGAUUAAAGCCAUGUUUCUAAGUUGAAUGAAAAAUAAGAUCUAUGCAUAUUUAAGGGUGUCUCCAAGCUACCCUUAGUCAUGCUCCCUACACUUCAGCCACUGGAUGCCUUGCUGACUCCUGAAUAAAGCAUGUUAAUUCCCACUUAAAAUACUGCUAAUAACUUCUUCAGUUUGAUAUCAGUGCUUUACACUCUUACCAUAAAGAAUUCUAAGCUGGGCAUUUCCUGAAUUGAGUUAAACCUAUCAUGUUCAUGAUCUCACUUAUCCCUCAAAGGGACUUAUAAAAUAGAUAGGGAAGAAAUGUUUACUUCCAUCUUGCAGAUGAAGAUACUGAGGCUCAGAUGAAAUGGCCACCAGCUCAGGGUCACAUGAUAUUCUAGAUAGAAGAACAAUGGGUCUCCUGAAUUCCAGUCUAGAAUUCCUUUCUCUAUAUUGCUGGGAUUCGUGCUUAACUCUCCCAGAUUUGGAUUGUAUGUUUGGUCACUGAUACUUCCUGUCAACAUAAGUGAAAGCACCUGGUUGCUUCUUGCAGGGGUAAUGACCACAUAACCCCUGCAUCCCUGCACUUCCCCACCUUGAUUCAUGCUGUUCCCUCUGCUGGGAAUUCUCUCUUCUCUCCUCUGAAUGGUCAACUCCUCCUAAUUCAAUUUUAGGCCAACUGAAAUCACACCUACUCUUUGAUUAAUUUUCUUUUGUGUGUUGCCAUAGUGCUGUGCAUGCUUCUGUUACAGCACAUCAGUGGGCACCAAGCUGUAGCCAGGUGUCUCUCAUGAAGUCACAGAAGGGAGGGAAUUCAGUGACAAGCUAGAGGAAAUGCUUGUUGAGAUCCAGGAACAGUCUUUGUUUUUAUAUUUUUAUCACUUACCACAGUGCCUGGAAUAUAGUAGAUAUUUUUUGACUAAAAGUUGCUCAGGGCCUGAAAAUUAGGCUGCUCCUGAAAAGAAAUGAGAUGGCAGACAAGGAGUUAUAUAAUAAAAAUGGAAACUAGGAUCUUAGGCUUCAGGUUUCAGAGUGGAUGUCUUGAGGCAUUGGAUAACUUCCUACAGUUCUGUGAAUCAUGAGAUGGUUAUGAACUCUUUGGAGCUGAAGGGACUCUUCGAUCCUUUUUGUAAGAUGGGUCUACCGGCAUUUCCUGUUCUGAGAGAGCAUGAGGUCCCUCAACUAAUGCCUUGAGAAUUGAAUGUUGGUUUGCCACUUACUGUUGCCUUAGCCCCGAUUUUUCCUUUAACAAAGUGUCAAAAAGAACUUUAGAUGGAGAAAAUGAAUUGAGUGAGGGAAAAAGUCCAUGAGUCCCAGAACAACCUCCAGUUUGGUAAUGAUUUAUCCUAUUCUAUUGUUAAUUUUGCAAUUAAGCAAGAGUACUUUACAUGCCUGAAUGACCCAUGGAUUGUAUCUUAAUCAAAUUAAUGUGUCUGCAACAUAAGACUGAUUCAGUCUUCAACUAUUAGAAUGACAAAUGAUGCAAAAACCUCAAUUUUUUUUCUCUCCUUUCUCUCUCUUCUCCCCACAAAACCCUCUAUCAUGAAAGGUCAACUGACUGAAAGUCUGUUGCUUUGAUGGCUAACAUGAGAUCCUAUUGGUUAAAAAGUAAGAAGGCUGGCUACCGCCCCUCACUCCACUUCAAACCAACUGUAUGUGUAUGUGUGACUGACUAUGUUUGUAAGUUUGGAUUAAAAAAAUUGUGGUUAA